GGGAAGGUCAGACUGGGCCAGGCCAAUCUAGGAUUGCAAUCUAGGAUUGCAAAGCACCAUUCCUUUAGGUUCCUUGGUUUCCUCUUCCUCUUCCCUCUUCCUCUUUCUCUCUGCUGUGGGGUGACUUUUCAGACUUUCACAAUCAAUAAUGAUUAACACUUUAGUCUCCUUAACCUGUAACCUGAAUAUAUGACUUCUGGCCUCAAGGAGUUAACAAACCAAGUUAUAAUGCAAUAAUCAUAGUCUAAAGAAUAGAAGAAACUGAGAAAUCUUCAAUCAGCCAGAAGAUGACUCCUUCAGAGAAUAAGUUCCCAUUCAAACUUCCUCUGUAAUGAAUAAUUGGACUCUUCAGGGCCCUGUGGCUUUCUUUGGGGGAAAAGUAUUUGGUUUCAACAAUUCCCUGGUGUUAAGCUGAAGCUCCAAUGCCUCCUGACAU
rnacentral:lncRNA from 1 species